UACGGAGGGUGCGAGCGUUGUCCGGAAUCACUGGGCGUAAAGGGCGCGUAGGCGGCGCGGGAAGUCAUCGGUGAAAGUUCAGGGCUCAACUCUGAAUCGGCCGGUGAUACUCUCGUGCUUGAGCACUGUAGAGGCAGGUGGAAUUCCGGGUGUAGCGGUGGAAUGCGUAGAGAUCCGGAAGAACACCGGUGGCGAAGGCGGCCUGCUGGGCAGUAGCUGACGCUAAUGCGCGACAGCGUGGGGAGCAAACAGG
rnacentral:rRNA from 1 species